UAGCUGGUUCUCUCCGAAAUAGCUUUAGGGCUAGCGUCGACAUUAGAGAUUCUUGGAGGUAGAGCACUGUUUGGGUGAGGGGUCCAUCCCGGAUUACCAAUCUCAGAUAAACUCCGAAUGCCAAUGAAUUAUGGUCGGCAGUCAGACUGCGAGUGCUAAGAUCCGUAGUCGAAAGGGAAACAGCCCAGACCACCAGCUAAGGUCCCAAAAUAAUUGUUAAGUGGAAAAGGAUGUGGGGUUGCACAGACAACUAGGAUGUUAGCUUAGAAGCAGCUAUUCAUUCAAAGAGUGCGUAAUAGCUCACUAGUCGAGUGACCCUGCGCCGAAAAUGUACCGGGGCUAAAACAAUUUACCGAAGCUGUGGAUACCUUUAUAGGUAUGGUAGGAGAGCGUUCUAUGUGUGAUGAAGGUAUACCGUGAGGAGUGCUGGAACGCAUAGAAGUGAGAAUGCCGGUAUGAGUAGCGAAAGACAGGUGAGAAUCCUGUCCACCGUAAGACUAAGGUUUCCAGGGGAAGGCUCGUCCGCCCUGGGUUAGUCGGGACCUAAGGAGAGACCGAAAGGUGUAUCCGAUGGACAACAGGUUGAUAUUCCUGUACUAGAGUAUGUAGUGAUGGAGGGACGCAGUAGGCUAACUAAAGCAGACGAUUGGAAGAGUCUGUCUAAGCAGUGAGGUGUGAAUUGAGUCAAAUGCUUAAUUCUAUAACAUUGAGCUGUGAUGGGGAGCGAAGUUUAGUAGCGAAGUUAGUGACGUCACACUGCCAAGAAAAGCUUCUAGCGUUUAAACAUACUCUACCCGUACCGCAAACCGACACAGGUAGUCGAGGCGAGUAGCCUCAGGUGAGCGAGAGAACUCUCGUUAAGGAACUCGGCAAAAUGACCCCGUAACUUCGGGAGAAGGGGUGCUGACUUAAAGUCAGCCGCAGUGAAUAGGCCCAAGCAACUGUUUAUCAAAAACACAGCUCUCUGCUAAAUCGUAAGAUGAUGUAUAGGGGGUGACGCCUGCCCGGUGCUGGAAGGUUAAGAGGAGUGCUUAGCGUAAGCGAAGGUAUGAAUUGAAGCCCCAGUAAACGGCGGCCGUAACUAUAACGGUCCUAAGGUAGCGAAAUUCCUUGUCGGGUAAGUUCCGACCCGCACGAAAGGCGUAAUGAUUUGGGCACUGUCUCAACGAGAGACUCGGUGAAAUUUUAGUACCUG
rnacentral:rRNA from 1 species